AGUGGGAUAGCUGGGUCAAAUGGUGAUUCCAUUUCAAGUUCUGGAAGGAUUUCCAUACUGCUUUCCAGAUUGGUUGCACCAAUUUGCUAUCCCACCAGAAAU
rnacentral:pre_miRNA from 1 species